rnacentral:lncRNA from 1 species
AUCCUGUGAACGACCCUAGAGUACAUUUUUUAUUUAUCUGUAGCCCUUAAAUUUCUCCUCUCUUGACUUGAUCCUUGAGGGCAAGGACCAUAUGUGUUCACUAUCGGCAACUAGCCCAGCAGCACACAGAAGCUGAAUGAACUCUGGUUGAAUAAAUGAAUGAGAAGUAAGGUAUGGGUACCUCGCGUUUUGAGCAGAAGGCUGCUAAUUUCUCACGUGAUCUUUAUCAAGAAGUACAGAAUCAGUGAGCAGCAUACAGCUACAGGAACAUGUCUCAGUGACCGUCUGCUUCCAGUGGGUCUGAGAUGGCAUGGAUGAGUGUCUGGGGGCCUGUUUAGAGCUCAGCCCCAGACAUAUCUCAGCCAAGGAUUAGAAACUGCUCUGUUCACACACCAGCUAUAGCCUGUAGCACAGAAACCAGGCCUGCUUUUCCAACACAUCGCUGUGCUGUUUGGUUAGGAGGGGAUUAAGGAUACGAAAAAGAAAAAAAGGUCAGUUUCUAUUUGUAGGUAAUUCUCAAUGUCCCUUCUCAGAAU